UACGUAGGGUGCAAGCGUUGUCCGGAAUUAUUGGGCGUAAAGCGCACGUAGGCGGCCUUGUAAGUCGGAUGUGAAAUCCCUCGGCUUAACCGAGGACGUGCAUCCGAAACUGUGAGGCUCGAGUAUGGAAGAGGGUCGCAGAAUUCCCGGUGUAGAGGUGAAAUUCGUAGAUAUCGGGAGGAAUACCAGUGGCGAAGGCGGCGACCUGGGCCAAUACUGACGCUGAGGUGCGAAAGCUAGGGGAGCAAACGGG
rnacentral:rRNA from 1 species